GAGGUCGUAGCGCAGAGGUCGUCGCGCCGGCGCAGCAGGCUGGAGGACGCCGGUUCGAUUCCGGCCGGCCUCG
rnacentral:tRNA from 1 species